rnacentral:rRNA from 1 species
AUUGAACGCUGGCGGCAGGCUUAACACAUGCAAGUCGAGCGAGCGGCGGACGGGUGAGUAAUGUCUGGGAAACUGCCUGAUGGAGGGGGAUAACUACUGGAAACGGUAGCUAAUACCGCAUACCAUCAGAUGUGCCCAGAUGGGAUUAGCUAGUAGGUGGGGUAAUGGCUCACCUAGGCGACGAUCCCUAGCUGGUCUGGGAGGAUGACCAGCCACUCUGGAACUGAGACACGGUCCAGACUCCACAGGGGGGCAGCAUUGGGGGAUAUUGCACAAUGGGCGCAAGCCUGAUGCAGCCAUGCCGCUUGUGUGAAGCAGGCCUUCGGGUUUUAAAGCACUUGCAGCGAGGAGGCGUUACUCGCAGAAUAAGCACCGGCUAACUCCGUGCCAGCCGCCGCGGUAAUUC